UGUAGGAUAGGUGGGAGGCUUUGAAGUGUGGACGCCAGUCUGCAUGGAGCCGACCUUGAAAUACCACCCUUUAAUGUUUGAUGUUCUAACGUGGACCCGUGAUCCGGGUUGCGGACAGUGUCUGGUGGGUAGUUUGACUGGGGCGGUCUCCUCCUAAAGAGUAACGGAGGAGCACGAAGGUUGGCUAAUCCUGGUCGGACAUCAGGAGGUUAGUGCAAUGGCAUAAGCCAGCUUGACUGCGAGCGUGACGGCGCGAGCAGGUGCGAAAGCAGGUCAUAGUGAUCCGGUGGUUCUGAAUGGAAGGGCCAUCGCUCAACGGAUAAAAGGUACUCCGGGGAUAACAGGCUGAUACCGCCCAAGAGUUCAUAUCGACGGCGGUGUUUGGCACCUCGAUGUCGGCUCAUCACAUCCUGGGGCUGAAGUAGGUCCCAAGGGUAUGGCUGUUCGCCAUUUAAAGUGGUACGCGAGCUGGGUUUAGAACGUCGUGAGACAGUUCGGUCCCUAUCUGCCGUGGGCGCUGGAGAACUGAGGGGGGCUGCUCCUAGUACGAGAGGACCGGAGUGGACGCAUCACUGGUGUUCGGGUUGUCAUGCCAAUGGCACUGCCCGGUAGCUAAAUGCGGAAGAGA
rnacentral:rRNA from 1 species